ACCGAUAGCGAACAAGUAGAGUGAUCGAAAGAUGAAAAGCACUUUGAAAAGAGAGUUAAACAGCACGUGAAAUUGUUGAAAGGGAAGCGUUGUCCACCAGACUCGCCCGGGGGGGCUCAGCCGGCACGUGUGCCGGUGUACUCCCCUCCGGGCGGGCCAGCAUCGGUUUGGGCGGCUGGUGAAAGGCCCCGGGAAUGUAACACCCUCCGGGGUGCCUUAUAGCCCGGGGUGCCAUGCAGCCAGCCUGGACCGAGGCCCGCGCUUCGGCGAGGAUGCUGGCGUAAUGGUGGUCAACGGCCCGUCUUGAAACACGGACCCAAG
rnacentral:rRNA from 2 species